CAGCCGCCGCGGUAAUACAGAGGGUGCAAGCGUUAACCGGAAUUACUGGGCGUAAAGCGCGCGUAGGUGGUUCGCCAAGUUGGAUGUGAAAUCCCCGGGCUCAACCUGGGAACUGCAUCCAAAACUGGCGAGCUAGAGUAUGGUAGAGGGUGGUGGAAUUUCCUGUGUAGCGGUGAAAUGCGUAGAUAUAGGAAGGAACAUCAGUGGCGAAGGCGACCACCUGGACUGAUACUGACACUGAGGUGCGAAAGCGUGGGGAGCAAACAGGAUUAGAUACCCCGGUAGUCCCUGUCUCUUAUAC
rnacentral:rRNA from 1 species